UGAGCAGCUGCUCCCAGUUAGCCUCAGCUAGCUCCCAGCUAGCUUUGUAAAGGAAUGCACUUUGGUAGAUUCAACCAAAUGCCCUGGGUGUUAGUCACAACAAUGACAACAGUAAUAAUUAUAAUAAUAAUAAUAAUAAUAAAGAGAACUGAGCAGUCUGAGGUACCAACAU